rnacentral:rRNA from 1 species
CGGGUGAGUAAUGCCUAGGAAUCUGCCUGGUAGUGGGGGACAACGUUUCGAAAGGAACGCUAAUACCGCAUACGUCCUACGGGAGAAAGCAGGGGACCUUCGGGCCUUGCGCUAUCAGAUGAGCCUAGGUCGGAUUAGCUAGUUGGUGAGGUAAUGGCUCACCAAGGCGACGAUCCGUAACUGGUCUGAGAGGAUGAUCAGUCACACUGGAACUGAGACACGGUCCAGACUCCUACGGGAGGCAGCAGCU